GACGAACGCUGGCGGCGUGCUUAACACAUGCAAGUCGAACGAGUGGGAACGGGUGAGUAACAAGUGGGUAACCUCCCAUCAGAGGGGAUAACACUUGGAAACAGGUGCUAAACCGAUAAUGAGGGAUGGAACAGUGGUGCAUUAACUAGUUGGGGAGGUAACGGCUCAGCAAGGCCACGAUGCAUAGCCGACCUGAGAGGGUGAUCGGCCACACUGGGACUGAGACACGGCCCAGACUCCUACGGGAGGCAGCAGUAGGGAAUCUUCGGCAAUGGACGAAAGUCUGACCGAGCAACGCCGCGUGAGUGAAGAAGGUUUUCGGAUCGUAAAACUCUGUUGUUAGAGAAGCGGUAUCUAACCAGAAAGCCACGGCUAACUACGUGCCAGCAGCCGCGGUAAUAC
rnacentral:rRNA from 1 species